GUAAGCCAGGUUGGUUUCUAUCUUUUAAAAAUUUAAAUAUUUUAGUACGAAAGGAUCAAGUAUUUUAAUUAAAUUAUUAAAAUAUUUAUUUGAAUUUUAUUAAAAAUAAUUGUUAAAAAUAUUAAAAAUUGAAUAGUUAUAAUAAAAAUUUUUAAGUUAAAGUUAUUUAUUUAAUUUAAAUUAAGAAUUAAAA
rnacentral:rRNA from 1 species